rnacentral:misc_RNA from 1 species
GAUGAGAACGUAGCGAAAUGCGAUAAGUAAUGUGAAUUGCAGAAUUCAGUGAAUCAUCGAAUCUUUGAACGCACCUUGCGCCCUUUGGCCAUUCCGAAGGGCAUGCCUGUUUGAGUAUCAUGAACACCUCAACUCUUUAUGGUUUUCCAUGAUGAGCUUGGACUCUGGGGGUUUUGCUGGCUCACAGUCGGCUCCUCUAAAAUGAAUCAGCUUACCAGUGUUUGGUGGGUAUCAUGGGUGUGAUAACUAUCUACGCUUGUGGUUUUUCCACCAGGUAACCUUCAGCAGUGGAGGUUCGCUGGAGCUCAUAGAUGUCUCUCCUCAGUGAGGACAGCCCUUUGAAUGUUUGAUCUCAAAUCAGGUAGGACUACCUGCUGAACUUAAGCAUAUCAAUAAGCGGAGGA